GAUGAACGCUGGCGGCGUGCCUAAUACAUGCAAGUCGAGCGAACAGACGAGGAGCUUGCUCCUCUGACGUUAGCGGCGGACGGGUGAGUAACACGUGGAUAACCUACCUAUAAGACUGGGAUAACUUCGGGAAACCGGAGCUAAUACCGGAUAAUAUAUUGAACCGCAUGGUUCAAUAGUGAAAGACGGUUUUGCUGUCACUUAUAGAUGGAUCCGCGCCGCAUUAGCUAGUUGGUAAGGUAACGGCUUACCAAGGCAACGAUGCGUAGCCGACCUGAGAGGGUGAUCGGCCACACUGGAACUGAGACACGGUCCAGACUCCUACGGGAGGCAGCAGUAGGGUAUCUUCCGCAAUGGGCGAAAGCCUGACGGAGCAACGCCGCGUGAGUGAUGAAGGUCCUCGGAUCGUAAAACUCUGUUAUGAGGGAAAAACAAAUGUGUAAGUAACUAUGCACGUCUUGACGGUACCUAAGCAGAAAGCCACGGCUAACUACGU
rnacentral:rRNA from 1 species